rnacentral:rRNA from 1 species
UACGAUGGGGGCUAGCGUUGUUCGGAAUUACUGGGCGUAAAGCGCGCGCAGGCGGUCCUUUAAGUCAGGGGUGAAAGCCCAGAGCUCAACUCUGGAACUGCCUUUGAAACUAGAGGACUUGGGUACGGGAGAGGUGAGUGGAAUUCCGAGUGUAGAGGUGAAAUUCGUAGAUAUUCGGAAGAACACCAGUGGCGAAGGCGGCUCACUGGCCCGUUACCGACGCUCAGGCGCGACAGCGUGGGGAGCAAACAGG